GAUGAACGCUGGCGGCGUGCCUAAUACAUGCAAGUCGAGCGAACGGACGAGAAGCUUGCUUCUCUGAUGUUAGCGGCGGACGGGUGAGUAACACGUGGAUAACCUACCUAUAAGACUGGGAUAACUUCGGGAAACCGGAGCUAAUACCGGAUAAUAUUUUGAACCGCAUGGUUCAAAAGUGAAAGACGGUCUUGCUGUCACUUAUAGAUGGAUCCGCGCUGCAUUAGCUAGUUGGUAAGGUAACGGCUUACCAAGGCAACGAUGCAUAGCCGACCUGAGAGGGUGAUCGGCCACACUGGAACUGAGACACGGUCCAGACUCCUACGGGAGGCAGCAGUAGGGAAUCUUCCGCAAUGGGCGAAAGCCUGACGGAGCAACGCCGCGUGAGUGAUGAAGGUCUUCGGAUCGUAAAACUCUGUUAUUAGGGAAGAACAUAUGUGUAAGUAACUGUGCACAUCUUGACGGUACCUAAUCAGAAAGCCACGGCUAACUACGUGCCAGCAGCCGCGGUAAUACGUAGGUGGCAAGCGUUAUCCGGAAUUAUUGGGCGUAAAGCGCGCGUAGGCGGUUUUUUAAGUCUGAUGUGAAAGCCCACGGCUCACCGUGGAGGGUCAUUGGAAACUGGAAAACUUGAGUGCAGAAGAGGAAAGUGGAAUUCCAUGUGUAGCGGUGAAAUGCGCAGAGAUAUGGAGGAACACCAGUGGCGAAGGCGACUUUCUGGUCUGUAACUGACGCUGAUGUGCGAAAGCGUGGGGAUCAAACAGGAUUAGAUACCCUGGUAGUCCACGCCGUAAACGAUGAGUGCUAAGUGUUAGGGGGUUUCCGCCCCUUAGUGCUGCAGCUAACGCAUUAAGCACUCCGCCUGGGGAGUACGACCGCAAGGUUGAAACUCAAAGGAAUUGACGGGGACCCGCACAAGCGGUGGAGCAUGUGGUUUAAUUCGAAGCAACGCGAAGAACCUUACCAAAUCUUGACAUCCUUUGACAACUCUAGAGAUAGAGCUUUCCCCUUCGGGGGACAAAGUGACAGGUGGUGCAUGGUUGUCGUCAGCUCGUGUCGUGAGAUGUUGGGUUAAGUCCCGCAACGAGCGCAACCCUUAAGCUUAGUUGCCAUCAUUAAGUUGGGCACUCUAAGUUGACUGCCGGUGACAAACCGGAGGAAGGUGGGGAUGACGUCAAAUCAUCAUGCCCCUUAUGAUUUGGGCUACACACGUGCUACAAUGGACAAUACAAAGGGCAGCGAAACCGCGAGGUCAAGCAAAUCCCAUAAAGUUGUUCUCAGUUCGGAUUGUAGUCUGCAACUCGACUACAUGAAGCUGGAAUCGCUAGUAAUCGUAGAUCAGCAUGCUACGGUGAAUACGUUCCCGGGUCU
rnacentral:rRNA from 1 species